GUCUUUGUAGUAUAUAUAAUACUUUGGUCUUGUAAACCAAAAAAGGAGGACAUCCCCCUCCCUAAGACU
rnacentral:tRNA from 2 species